rnacentral:misc_RNA from 1 species
UAUUAUAUUAAUGCCUUAACGGCAGAAUCACAUUCAAGAUUGAAAAGAGUGUAUAUGUGAAGAAAGGGAGAAUUCUAGCAGUAAGCCUGCUUAAAACCCCCCUUCCAAAAGGUGCACAGGUGUUUGGGAUAAAGGAUUGUUGGGGGCGAGCACAUGCAAGCCAAAAGGCAGCAUGCCAGCAUCAACCCCCAUUACAAUUCAGUAAUGAUCCUUCCGCAGGUUCACCUACGGAAA